rnacentral:rRNA from 1 species
CUUAGAGUUUGAUCCUGGCUCAAGACGAACGCUGGCGGCGUGCUUAACACAUGCAAGUCGAACGAAAAGAGGGAAAGAGCUUGCUCUUUCCGGAAUUGAGUGGCAAACGGGUGAGUAACACGUAAACAACCUGCCUUCAGGAUGGGGACAACAGACGGAAACGACUGCUAAUACCGAAUAAGUUCCAAGGGCCGCAUGGCCCAUGGAAGAAAAGGUGGCCUCUACCUGUAAGCUAUCGCCUGAAGAGGGGUUUGCGUCUGAUUAGCUGGUUGGAGGGGUAACGGCCCACCAAGGCGACGAUCAGUAGCCGGUCUGAGAGGAUGAACGGCCACACUGGAACUGAGACACGGUCCAGACUCCUACGGGAGGCAGCAGUGGGGAAUCUUCCGCAAUGGGCGAAAGCCUGACGGAGCAACGCCGCGUGAGUGAUGACGGCCUUCGGGUUGUAAAACUCUGUGAUCCGGGACGAAAAGGCAGAGUGCGAAGAACAAACUGCAUUGACGGUACCGGAAAAGCAAGCCACGGCUAACUACGUGCCAGCAGCCGCGGUAAUACGUAGGUGGCAAGCGUUGUCCGGAAUUAUUGGGCGUAAAGCGCGCGCAGGCGGCUUCCCAAGUCCCUCUUAAAAGUGCGGGGCUUAACCCCGUGAUGGGAAGGAAACUGGGAAGCUGGAGUAUUGGAGAGGAAAGUGGAAUUCCUAGUGUAGCGGUGAAAUGCGUAGAGAUUAGGAAGAACACCGGUGGCGAAGGCGACUUUCUGGACGAAAACUGACGCUGAGGCGCGAAAGCGUGGGGAGCAAACAGGAUUAGAUACCCUGGUAGUCCACGCCGUAAACGAUG